CCCACCACCGCAGCGCGCGCGCCAUGUCCGCGCCCGACCGCGCCCGCACGCGGCUCAUCUCCUCCCCCGGCGCCGUCGCCGCCAGCGCCCGCCGCGCCACGCGCCGCGGGGUCUGCGCCAGCGCGCGCCCGUACGCGCGCCAGCUCGCGAACGACGACGACCCCGUGCCGGUGCCGACGGCGCUCCCGGCGAUGGCCCCCGGGCGGUCGUGGUGGACGCCGUCGGACGAUGCCAGCGCCGCGCCCUUGUCCAUGGCCGCCGCCAAGAACACGCCCGCGAGUCACGACCAGGGGUUUGGUGGGGGUUGGGUUAGGGUUAGUUGCUGGUGGAGCGGUGGCGCGGCGCGACCGAUCAGGUUGGUUUGGAGGACGAGGCGUGCAGUGGCG
rnacentral:misc_RNA from 1 species